rnacentral:rRNA from 1 species
CAACGCCGCGUGAACGAUGAAGGCCUUCGGGUCGUAAAGCUCUGUUGUUAGGGAAGAACAAGUACCGGAGUAACUGCCGGUACCUUGACGGUACCUAACCAGAAAGCCACGGCUAACUACGUGCCAGCAGCCGCGGUAAUACGUAGGUGGCAAGCGUUGUCCGGAAUUAUUGGGCGUAAAGCGCGCGCAGGCGGUCCUUUAAGUCUGAUGUGAAAGCCCACGGCUCAACCGUGGAGGGUCAUUGGAAACUGGGGGACUUGAGUGCAGAAGAGGAAAGCGGAAUUCCACGUGUAGCGGUGAAAUGCGUAGAGAUGUGGAGGAACACCAGUGGCGAAGGCGGCUUUCUGGUCUGUAACUGACGCUGAGGCGCGAAAGCGUGGGGAGCAAACAGGAUUAGAUACCCUGGUAGUCCACGCCGUAAACGAUGAGUGCUAAGUGUUAGAGGGUUUCCGCCCUUUAGUGCUGCAGCUAACGCAUUAAGCACUCCGCCUGGGGAGUACGGCCGCAAGGCUG